CAGCACCGCCUUUCCCUCUCUCUGUCUCCGCUGCCACCAACCAGCACUGCCAUCAUCACCACACACGCGUGUCGGCUAGCGGCCUUCAUACAGUUGGGCACGCGCACACGCAUUCAUAAGAGGCGACUGGCGCUCGUGCGUUCGUCAAUCGAAGACGCUCGGUAACAUAAUACCUCCAUACAUUCCACCACCCUCUCUCUCUUUCUGCCCCCCCCCCCCCCCCCCCCCCCCCCCCCCCCCCCCCCACUCGCUUCCAACUCCCGCGAACGUCGGCCAUUCUGCGCUCAUCGCCGUUCAGAGGAGGGAACCGGGGCUGCGGGGCUGCGGCAGUGCGAACGAGAAGAAGCCUCACAUGCUCUUGAGCGACACGAUCAUAGACCAAAGAGAAUACGCGACGCGCAGUCCGCAGUGGCGGCUGGUCUCCCUCUUUACCUAAGUGUCUUCCGUCCAUUUCUGCUGGCCCUCCCCUCUUAUAGUGCUGUUUGGUUUUCCUGCUCCGUCUCUCCUCCCUCCCUCCUCCCUUCAUCGGGCCUUUGUACAUGCCCACGCUCGUCCCCUUUCGCACCCUUGAUAUCAUAGACAUCGAGUAGUCGUUUCUCUCACUGCCCACUUCCUCCCUGCCCAACAUUGCGUGUGUGUGUGUGUGUGGCUCCUAUCGUAUGUUGCUUGCUCUUUCCUCGUCGGUCGUGCGGCUCUUCUCUGUUAUCACUGGAGCUGCGCGUCAGAGUCUUGUUGGCGCUCUCUCUGACCGUCUCUCCCACGCCAACGCACAAACACACGCGCGUAGGGGCGUGCGCUUCGUCGCGCAGCUGCAGGCCACUUCCUCCGACCUGCACACCAUUGCUUCGUAGUGCAGGUGGUGGGUGCGUGUUGCCGUCUCUGCCGGUCUGCUACGCGCGGUGAACGCCGUACUUCCCACCUGGGAGCGCCCCUCCCCUCCUCCACUCCGCCCCGCUGAGUCUUAUGAGUCAUGGUCGGCGUAUGCUUGAGGCGCAGGCGCAGAAGGAGCGCACGUCCGGCACCUGCGAAGACGGCCGGCUGGACGACGGGCACCUGCGCAACGGCAGCCGCGCUUUGAACGACGACGGAACGCCGGUGCGACUUUCCCGCGGCGGCGCGCGCACAAGCGGUGACGACCGCGGCAGGGAUGACGGACACGACGACGUCGCCCUCGUCUCCCCACCCCCUCGCCCAAGCGUGCGACUUGGAUUCAACCGCGCUGGUGACGGUAGCAGGAGUGCCAGUAGCAUUGCUACCGCAGCAGGCAGUGCGCUCGGGGCUACUGUAGCCGAAACUGCCAACCACCAACAGCGAAUCAGCGGCAUCGGACCUUCUCCCGCUGCACCAUUCUCCUGCGCUCGUCUGGCCGUGCCACGUCGACUACAGUCGUCGGACGUGGCAGAAGGCGUGCGCGUCAGCGCUGCUCGGCACAUCGACGUGGACGCGGAGGAAGGGGAGAAUGACGACAAUGCCAGGAAGACGCGCGGCACUCUCGCGGAGGCUGCGGCAAGAGGCUCGCCGAGGCGGAAAGGAGGAGGCGGCCGAGACGAUUCGCUUGCCGGUGGCGACUCUGCACAACGCCGCAUAUCUUCUGAGGCCCGCAGCCGCAGCCGCAGCCGCACGGGUGGCAGCGGCUACUCGUCUGCGAGCGGCUUGCGCUAUCCUGUGUCUCGAGUGAACGCCUUGGCCGCGACUGCGACACUCUCAGCGGCUCCGCAUGAUCUACCAAGCCCUCUCAACCAAGGCCGUACCGGAAGCCGCUCACCGCCGCCGAUGACGGCAGUGCAGAAGACAUCGGCUUCUACUUCUUUAUUUCGUCAGCCUCGCGCGACCCCUCUACCGGCGCCAAUAACUGCCGCCGUUCUUCGCCCGAGCAACACGGAGUCUCGUGCAAGCCCAACGCUCGACACCGGCACGGCAACCGCGGUAACCCAUGCUGCUCGUCAGCCACCGUCACUACGACAGGAGUCAUCGUCGCGGAGCGCUGGCGGCCCAGGUUUCACGACGGCGAUGGCAUCAUCAGCGAAGACUCCUCCGUUGCAGAUGCUCAUAUCACCGGCGUCUCCUCCGUUACGGGCUGGGGUGUCGCCCCGCAUGCUUCCACUGCACCCUACCAGGGCGGAUGCCAGCAGCGCGUCCAUGUUCCUCUCCCGUGCGGCCAGCGCAAGCACCGUCACCACUACGGUGGCCACGACUCCUUCCUCCUCGCAGGCGCAGCUUCCGCCGCCGGUCGGCUCGCAAGUGUCGCCCUAUGAGCUGCAACAGCAUCAGCCGUAUCCGAUGCCGCCCACGCCGUCGUCCACGGCUGCUGCAGUCAUGCCAUCCCGUUCCGUUGUGCAUCACGAUUUUGGCGAUCUCGCUGGGGACGCCGUCGGGGAAGACCGCGCCGCAACAGAGGCGGAGCCGCACACUCUUCUUCGCUCUACCAAACCACUUUCUCAGAAAAGUGAGCCUACAGUGGCGACGGCUGGGUCUGAGUGGCAGUCAGCGCCACCGUCGCCUCUGCCGACAAGCGUUGAGCUGCUAGCCCGUCCCCGACUGCCGCUGCUUCCGGAGGCGACGUUGCCGUAUGACGAAGUGGGUAUCACCCCGUUGACGAACAGCGCGGACCGCCGCAUCUAUCCCUUCAUGCGUGACUUCAGUGGCUUCCACAACACUGGCAACGAUUGCUACGGCUGCAGCCUGCUGACGAUGCUGCUGCGCAGUGAAGUGUUUCGUCGUGCGUUGCUCGGCUCGCCGCUCGUGUGCGCGAUGCGGCGCUACGAGGCUCUCCUGACGGGUAAGGCGGAGCGGCGUGUGCUGUGGACGAGCGGGUACGUCAACACUGCAGCGGAGACGAAGGCGAAGAAGACGGCGGCGCGGAAGCGCACCCGGCCUGCUGGCUGGCCUGCCGAUGACGGUGACGACGGUGGACAGACGGAGGAAGCGUCAGUUACGGGCGCCUGCGGCUUGCCUGACACCACGCCAAGAGUUCCGGCGGAAACGCUGGCGCAUUCGCAGUACGUGUGGCGCCCCACUGCAGAUGUCCAGCACACACUCGACGUUCUCGACACCUUCUCCCUGAGCGAGCUAGAGGAUGCGCUAGAGGUGGAUCUGGAGACUCAGCGCGUCCCCGCUACGCUGCAUGGCGCGCUCGCCGCACUUGCACGAGCGCAGCGCUGGCGUGAACACAUGACGACGCUCGUGAACAUGCCGCGGAUGCAGGCGGCGGAGCGGCAGCGCCUUCUGGAGACGAAGAUCUACCACGAUAACGAUCGAGACUUUGACGGGCAGGUUUACACGCACGGUAUUCGACUCAACGCCGUGGCCAACUUGUUUGAUGGUGAGUUCUUUCUCGGUGAUCAGGAGGAUGCGCACGAGCUGUUCGUGUCGGUCAUGGCGAAGCUGGAGACCGAGGCGGUGAAGUUUCAGCAUCACUGCGAUGAAGUACUCGAGCGCCGCUCCUCUGUCACCCCAACGGAGAGAAGCAGCGCGGAGGACGAAGUGGACGAGGAAGCGGAGCGGGAGGAGGGGAGGCCCAACAACGAAGGGGGGGCGAGCUUCGCGGAGAAGCGUCUGCUGCGCGGGGCUCACGCACCCUCCGCCUUCUCCAUGAGGCCAUCGGACGUUCCGGCUGCUGCCAGCCCCAGUAAACCACACCGCCUGUCUGUCUCCACAACCGCGGGGGAGGUGUGGAUCAACACGCUUGUGCAGACGCGACUCCUCAACAUCAUUCGAUGCCGCACCGCCGAGUGCCACCACGAGAUCGUCACAGACGAGGUCUGCGUGAACCUCUCCGUGCACAUUCCAGAGGAGCCCCUGACAUCUCCGCCACCAGCGCUGCCUCUGCCGCCACAGUCGUGCUUCCCCGCGCAGCCGCCUCCGCUUUCGCCCACGCCCAUCUUUCCCUCAUCUUCGAUUGCGGCGGCUGUGGCAGCCCCGCUGCCAGCUAUGGAUGGAGGAGGUGGCCGGUGCCGCUCCCUCGCGAACCUCUUGCACGAGUCCAUGGCUUACGAAGCGCUGAACGAGUACCGGUGCGACUGUUGCGGCUCACGGACCUCUCAGUUUCAAGGCGGGUGCUUCUACACACGUCCGCCGCCGCUGCUGGUGCUACAGCUGAAGCGGUUCGCGACCCAGUUUGUGAACGGCACCAUCAUCAUCCAGAAGAAUGGCCGCCGUGUCGCGGUGGAGGACAAGCUGGUAAUUCACGCGCUGCCCAGUGCAGGGGAGUGGCAUGCGGGGCAGCGGCGACGGGGGCGGCAACACCGGCGCAGUCCGGACCCCGUGGAGCCCGUAGAGGUGACCGAGGCAGUGGAGGACGCGCGUGAGGGUGCGGAGUGCUGCCCCUACUACGACCCCGACAAGAAAUGCUUCUCUGCCGCUCUGCAGGAGAUCUGCGACGUGAGCGGGGGCGGUGGACUGGCAGGGCGGGAUGGUUUGAAGGAUGAAAAGCACGAUAGCACGGGCGACGGCCUCCUCACGACCCUCGCUGCUGCAGCUCCUCCCUCUUCUCUUGUGCGGGCCAUUCGGUGCCUUUACCGUCUGCGGAGCUGCGUCCUGCACCUCGGCCAAAGCCUCCACUACGGCCAUUACGUGUCGGACUUUGCCGUCGACGGCGAGGAGGAUGACGAGGAGGAUGGCGAGGACGGGGAGACUGCCAGAGCGCGCCGCACGGCAGAGCAAGAGGCAGGUGUAAGGUCCACCUCUCAGGCGACACUGAAUUCGUGCAGUGCUGUACGACGGCGCUGGCGCCGCGCGAACGACGAGCGGGUCGAGGUGCUCAGCGACGAAGUGGUGCAGGCCCGCCGUGCCGGCUGCUCCGACACGUACCUUCUUCUGUACGAAAAGGUCGCGGAGGAACGGGUGUGGUGCCCUGCCGAGGCAGUGCUGCCGACGCCUGUCUACCGCAGCUCCGAAGGGGGCAAGACGUGAGGCGAAGCGGGCGGGUGGUCGCAUCCGCAAGAGGCGCAGCAGUAGGAGUAGGCUGCGUGUGCGGGCCGAGACACGGCAAGCAUCUCCUCUUCCUGUGAUGGCGGUGGUGGUGGGGUACUGUGUGGAGGCGCCGACUUCGUAUAUCCCGCGCUCUACCCCAUCACCCUCCUUCUGCUCAUGCAUGAGGUCGCCUUUUUGCAGUCGAGCACCGUCAGGCACCACUGAUGCAGCCCCCUCCCCUGCCGUUCACUUGACCCCCUUCCUCAAUGCAACGUUGUGUGCAUGUGCACGUAUGUGGUAUCAAGCAGUGCCGAAUGGGCUCGAGGGGGAAAGGCAAACAGCGCGGCGUUUGACGCGGCAGCUCUCGUGUUCCGUGUGCCCGGUGGUGUUGGUGGUGGUGGUGCUCUCGAUUAGCGCUGCGGCUCAGUGCUGUCGCAGCUGCGAGGCUGCGCCCCAGAGACGUCUUGCUCGCUCUCUC
rnacentral:misc_RNA from 1 species